rnacentral:rRNA from 1 species
GAUGAACGCUGGCGGCGUGCCUAAUACAUGCAAGUCGAGCGAACAGAUGAGAAGCUUGCUCCUCUGACGUUAGCGGCGGACGGGUGAGUAACACGUGGAUAACCUACCUAUAAGACUGGGAUAACUUCGGGAAACCGGAGCUAAUACCGGAUAAUAUAUUGAACCGCAUGGUUCAAUAGUGAAAGACGGUUUUGCUGUCACUUAUAGAUGGAUCCGCGCCGCAUUAGCUAGUUGGUAAGGUAACGGCUUACCAAGGCAACGAUGCGUAGCCGACCUGAGAGGGUGAUCGGCCACACUGGAACUGAGACACGGUCCAGACUCCUACGGGAGGCAGCAGUAGGGAAUCUUCCGCAAUGGGCGAAAGCCUGACGGAGCAACGCCGCGUGAGUGAUGAAGGUCUCGGAUCGUAAAACUCUGUUAUUAGGGAAGAACAAAUGUGUAAGUAACUAUGCACGUCUUGACGGUACCUAAUCAGAAAGCCACGGCUAACUACGUG